AGUCGAACGGAGGUAGAAAUACCUCAGUGGCGGACGGGUGAGUAACACGUGAGAAUCUAGCUUCAGGUCGGGGAUAACAGAGGGAAACCGCUGCUAAUACCGAAUGUGCGAGAGGUGAAAGACAAGUUGCCUGAGGAUGAGCUCGCGGCGGAUUAGCUAGUUGGUGGGGUAAAAGCCUACCAAGGCGACGAUCCGCAGCUGGUCUGAGAGGACGAGCAGCCACACUGGGACUGAGACAAGGCCCAGACUCCUACGGGAGGCAGCAGUGGGGAAUUUUCCGCAAUGGGCGAAAGCCUGACGGAGCAAGACCGCGUGAGGGAGGAAGGCUCUUGGGUUGUAAACCUCUUUUCUUUGGGAAGAAGAAAGUGACGGUACCAAAGGAAUCAGCAUCGGCUAACUCCGUGCCAGCAGCCGCGGUAAUACGGAGGAUGCAAGCGUUAUCCGGAAUCAUUGGGCGUAAAGCGUCCGCAGGUGGUGGGGCAAGUCGGCUGUCAAUGGUCACAGCUUAACUGUGAACAGGCGGUGGAAACUGCCAAACUAGAGUGCGGUAGGGGUAGAGGGAAUUCCCGGUGUAGCGGUGAAAUGCGUAGAGAUCGGGAAGAACACCAGUAGCGAAAGCGCUCUGCUGGGCCUGCACUGACACUGAGGGACGAAAGCUAGGGGAGCGAAUGGGAUUAGAUACCCCAGUAGUCCUAGCCGUAAACGAUGGAGACUAGGCGAGGCGCGUAUCGACCCGUGCCGUGCCGGAGCUAACGCGUUAAGUCUCCCGCCUGGGGAAUACGCACGCAAGUGUGAAACUCAAAGGAAUUGACGGGGGCCCGCACAAGCGGUGGAGUAUGUGGUUUAAUUCGAUGCAACGCGAAAAACCUUACCAGGGCUUGACAUGUCCGGAACCUCUGGGAAACUAGAGGGUGCCUAAGGGAGCCGGAACACAGGUGGUGCAUGGCUGUCGUCAGCUCGUGUCGUGAGAUGUUGGGUUAAGUCCCGCAACGAGCGCAACCCUCGUUCUUAGUUGCCAUCAUUAAGUUGGGAACUCUAAGAAGACUGCCGGUGACAAACCGGAGGAAGGUGGGGAUGACGUCAAGUCAGCAUGCCCCUUACGUCCUGGGCGACACACGUACUACAAUGCUUCGGACAAAGGGCAGCCAAGCCGCAAGGCAGAGCAAAUCCCAUAAACCGAGGCCAAGUUCAGAUCACUCUCUGCAACUCGAGAGCGUGAAGGCGGAAUCGCUAGUAAUCGCCGGUCAGCAUACGGCGGUGAAUACGUUCCCGGGCCUUGUACACACCGCCCGUCACACCAUGGGAGUUGGCCACGCCCGAAGUCGUUACUCCAACCAUU
rnacentral:rRNA from 1 species